AUGCGGCAUGGCGCGCGGAAACCCCGCGGGAGAAAGUUCAUGCCGAUGUACGUGCAGGUGCCGGAAAAUAGCCAAAGGCUCUGGCAAGGUCAACCAGCCGCUGUGAAUUGUAUGGAAAUAAAAUGCCUUAUAAUUCAAUCGGUUGCCAAAGACGUUUGAUUGUACCUGCCGCACUGGUUUAAGACGAUGA
rnacentral:sRNA from 1 species